rnacentral:rRNA from 1 species
UACAGAGGUCUCAAGCGUUGUUCGGAUUCAUUGGGCGUAAAGGGUGCGUAGGCGGCGCGGUAAGUCGGGUGUGAAAUCUCGGAGCUUAACUCCGAAACUGCAUUCGAUACUGCCGUGCUUGAGGACGGGAGAGGAGACUGGAAUUUACGGUGUAGCGGUGAAAUGCGUAGAUAUCGUAAGGAAGACCAGUGGCGAAGGCGGGUCUCUGGACAGUUCCUGACGCUGAGGCACGAAGGUCAGGGGAGCAAACGGG